CCGACCCUGUCUUCUUCCUCGCCCAUGUUCUCCCUUCCCCUUUUCCUUUUUUUUUUUUUUCAUUUUUGUCUUCCAGGAUCGAGCUUCUUCUCUCAAAUCCACAAGAACAACGGCCAGAUCGAGUCACGGAUGCCUGAUUAUUGACAAGAAAUCCGCCAUUUGAGAAUGCAAUCGGUUUGAGCCAGUGAGCUUCGGACUCUUAAGGGUCAAUCAGACGGGAAAGGCAAGGGCGAAACCCUUGUUGGUAAAGGAACCAAGGUCAGGACUACCCUUACAGCCACCCAAAUGAAAUUGAAGUUUAUAAGCCAACAAAUUAAAAUUUUCCUUUCCAGCAGGUGGAUAAGGUAAUGUUUCAGCCAUCUCUCGACCACUAGAGCAUAGUGCUACAACAGAUUUAUUUCAAAAACCAAUAUCAUAUACUAUGAGCGAAUGGCUGUUCAGAUUUCUAAACAAGAGAUCGGAUAUGGCAGUAUCUGUCACAGACGUGCAUUCUUUAAGGGUUAGGUAGCAUAAGGAAACACAAUUUGUUGCAAUGUAGAGGAGAUCAGAAUCUGGAAUGCACAUAAAAGGAGCAGUAAUUGAUCUGCUUCUAAGCAUAAACUUACGAAAAAUGAAAGAUUAGAAACCAUGUAACUUAUUUUUAUCUAACAGUAAGUCUCGACUAAGUUAUAUGGUGAGUUUAUGAUAAAUAUGAUUAUAUCCUUACCACAGACAUCACUUAUGCCUUCUAAUGUGAGUCUUGCAAUAGUUGAUAUGGAGAAUGAGCCAAGGUCAGGACGUCUGCAUACACAGGCUUCGUUUGGAGAGAUUCGCGAAGGUAGACAACCUCUGUGACCAAAGAAAAGGAUUCCUAGCAGCUAUCUUAGUAUGGGCCCCCCAUCUCCAUAGCUCUGCGAACAUCUUCCUCUUAUUUAAGACCAGGUCGAACUCAACUUCGCAAUCCCAUCUCCAGUCGAAGAGCUCAACCGUUCUGCUGCAAAUUGUUGGUGUGUUGUUAUUCAUGUUCUUCGCCUGCUUAUGUGUGGAAGUUCUACUCGGACAAGUACAUCCAACAUGGCUCUUAAGGGUGAGAAUAUCCUCGAGUGGACUGAUUAUGUGGAGUUCGCUUUCAUUCAUAUCAUGCUUGAGAAGUUCAAAAGGACCCACACGACAUCUUGGAAGCAAAGGGAUUGGGUGGAGAUGAAUGUGGAGAUGGAAAGACAAUUUCCUGAUGUCCAAUUAGGCUUCCAGAAGCUCCAGCAGAAAACAACGAGACCUAAGACCAUGUACAAGCAGUUCACUGAAUUGCUUCAUCAUAAACCAGUUGGAUGGGAUGAAGACACUAACACUAUCAAGGCAAGUCCCGAUAUAUGAGAUACAUUUAUCAAGAAGAACAAGGCUUUCAAGACAUUCCAAACUAGAGGUUACAAGAACUACAAACUUUUGAAUGAGCUUUUCAGUGCAUCAACUGCUACAUGGGCUCUACGUAUCUCCUCGAUCGAUCCACCGAGGACUUUUGAUGAGGAUCGACAAGUGUCAGAGGAAUUCCUAUCAACAUCCAAGAAACAUCAUAAACAGCCAGUCAACCUCAAAGAAGGCUCCAACGAAAGUGAUGAUCGGGUCCAUGUGGUUGAAGAGCCGAUUAUAUUUGAGUCCCUCCAUCAAGUGCAUAAAAGGCUUUCCUCGACAACCUUACAGCUGCAGGAGUGCAUGGACUUAUUCAAGGCCAGUUUCAAACACAAACCUAAGACCACCCCUCCAUAGUCAAAGAGAAGCAAGUCGAUUUCUAGCCCUGAGAAGGUAGACAGAAAUAACAUCGAGGAAGCCAUGGUGGAGUUGAAUAAAAUGAAACCGACAAUCCCUAUUGACGAGUGUAUGGCAUUGAGCUUACCUCUCCUUCAUGAAAAAAUGAGGAGGCUAUUAAUGUGCUACCCGGAAGACACAAGAAGGGAAUGGCUACAUCGCCUUUGUCGCUCUUGAAUGAGCUCGGAUCCCUCUUUAUGUUUGUUAAUACUGUUUGUGACAAUCUCAUUUCUUUCUCUUAAUUAUGACAUUAAUCGUACUGAUAUGUUUGUUAUGUAUGUUUAGAUAUUUCGACUUUAAUAAGUUAUGUUUGUUAUGUGUGCUUGAAAUU